rnacentral:tRNA from 14 species
AGCGUAGCUCAAUGGGUAGCGCGCUUGGUUCACGUGGACAAAGAUCGUGGGUUCGAAUCCCAG